CUCUUCUAAUUCGUUCCAAUAUCAAAAAAAUAAAAAUAGAAGACUUAUGUUUUCUCAACAAUAUUUUUAUCCAAAUUCUUGACCAAUCUCAACCUCGAAUGAGAAUAUCUUUACAAAGUUUCUUAACAAACUCCUUCUAACAAUCGAAUAAAAACUUUCAAAUCAACGUGAAUAUUAUACUUUGUGAUAUAAGUAUAAUAUGAAUAGUAUACUUUGUGUAUACUGUGUUCGAAAUAUAGUAUCUUACAGUAUAAUAUAUAUACGUGUAUUACAAAGUAUUGAAGGAUCAGGAACGAAUUAGCGAGAUCCGUUGCCGUCGAGCGAGGCGAAUAAUAUCGAGUUUCUUUUUUUCGCAGAUGUCGAUCAUCGAGCCGUGAUAUCUCGUGCAGGUGCAUCCGAUUCGAGCGCGACACCUGUAGCGAAGACUCCCCCUUUGCUUAUCGAAUUAUUGCACCGCCGCAGAAGGAUCGUUUUUUUUUCGCAAGGAAGCGAGUCAACCCUUUUUGCGGACUUUUCGCCCGUGUCCCCCUUCUUUCUUUUCCUUUUUUUCGGGUAUCGUAUCGAGUUUUUGCGCAGCCACGCUUUUAAUUUCGAUCAACGUUUUCAACGUUCCAGGCUCGUUUCGAGGCCGUUCGUUCGUUCGUUGCGUCUCCAAAUGUGAAUGUAAAAUGUGAGUGUUUUGCGCGAAGGGAAAUGGAGAUGAUCGAGCUCGUUCGUUUCGACACGCAAGAUUCUCUUGGGUUUUAGGGAUCAGAGAGAAUGAAAAUGGAAAUUGUAUUAAUUAGAGCGUAUCACGAAUGAUCGAUCGACUCGCGAUUAUUUUUCUUAAUAAGAGAAGAAUGUUCGAAUGGAUAUCAUUGUGUAAUUCACUCGAUGAAUUGUAUUAAGAGAAAGAAUAUGAGAAGCUAUAAACAGAAAUGCUUCAAUAUUAAUUUGAAGCAAUUAAUACGUGUGAUGGUUGUUGAGGAAAUGAAUCAAAAAUCGAGUAUGAAAGUGUAUAAGAAUACGAUAAAAUUGAAAGGAUUUUAUUAAUCCAUAUUUAAUGUAUGGAUAAUUCAAUGAAUUUUAAUUUUGAAAAAUGAUACGAGACAAAAAUCACUCUUUAUUUCUGAAGAAAUUCUGAAGAAAACGUAUGAGAAUAAAAUUAAAAAUUUAUUAUUAAUUAGAAUGCAUUGAUAAUUCAAUGAAUUUUAGUUUUAAGACACGAGUCAAAAAUUACUCUUUAUUUUUGAAUUGAUAAUUCAAUGAAUUUUAGUUUUGAGAAAUGACACGAGUCAAAGAUCACUCUUUAUUUCAGAAGAAAUUCUACAAAAAUCUCGUAUGAGAACAAAAAUUUAUUAAUUAGAAUGCAUUGGAUUGAUAAUUCAAUGAAUUUUAGUUUCGAGAAACGAUAUGAGUUGAAAGUCACUCGAAGAAAGAAGAAACUCUACGAAAAGAAAAUUAAAAGUUUAUUAUUAAUUAGAAUGGAUAAUUCAAUGAAUUUUAUUUUGAGAAAUGAUACGACUCAAAAACCACUUUUUUAGAAGAAACUUUACUUUAAUUCGAAUCUCUACAAAAACGUAAGAACAAAAUUAAGAGGAUUCUAUUAAUCCAUCGGAAUGCAACGAUUAUUCGGUGAAUUUUGAUUUUGAGAAACGACACGAAUCAAAGAUCACUCUUUAUUUUUAAAGAAACUCUACAAAAACAUAUGAAAAUAAAAUUAAAAAUUUAUUAUUAAUUAGAAUGCAUUGAUAAUUCAAUGAAUUUUUUGAAAGUCAUUCGAAGAAAGAAGAAACUCUACGAAAAGAAAAUUAAAAUUUUAUUAUUAAUCCAUUAGAAUGAAUAAUUCAAUGAAUUUUGAAUCAAAAUUCCUUGGAAAUUCUACAAAAACAACAAAAUUAAAGUACUAAUCUACAAGAAUGCAUAUUCUUGUAUGAUUGAAUAAACUUUCGAGUUACAUCACUGCAUCGUGCAGGUACAUGCGAAAAUUUAUAUUAUAUCUUUUAGAGAAGGAUAAAAGAUUGGAGAAAAAAAUAAAAAUUGGAUAAAAUUGUAAAAUUUUCUACAACUAAAUAUUCCAAACGAAAGAGAGAGAGAGAAAAAAAGGAAAGAAGCUCGGAGGAGGAUCGAAGGUUCAAGGUUCUGUCGCGAGUAACGACAGUUAUGACGAGGAUCAUGCGAAAUCCUGCGCAGGAGCUUUGCAACUCGGCCCAUUGUCUCAGCGGCCAUUGUCGGGGAUGUGGGCGCCCCUCCCCCACCUUUGCCCCGGUUAAAAACUGAAGGAUCACGAUCCCCCGCUGCUAGGGAUCGUCCUUAAUCCGUGGCCAACAAAAAGAGUUAGGGCGCCGAUAUAACGAGAGCCGCGAGUAAUGCGAGCGGAUUGUUGUUGCAUCCCGCCACGAACAAUGCCUUAAUGCGUUAAGCUCUGUAAAUAUCGAUGCCUUCGACCGACACCCAACGCUUGCUCGCUUUCCACGCAAAGUGGAAAAUUCGGUCGAGGCGGAUACAAUUGGCCUAUUCUUAGGCGUCCUCUCCUGAUUAGCAUUAGUCUUAAAUUUGUGCAACGUCUCUUUCUCUUUUCAAGGCUUAUUCUUUUCCGAACCUCUUAUUGUAGACGUUGAAGAGCGAGGAAGAAAGAGAGUAAAAUAAACUGCAAAAUAACUGUUUAAAUAAUGGAAUAUUGUAUAAUAAUAUUACAAAUUUGAACUUCCUUCCUCUUCAUAGCCACCAUUCUCUUCUUAAACCCUUUUUCGAACCGAUUCUAUAUUAUACUUUUCUUUCUUUCAUCCUUAGAAGAAGAAAGAAAGUAAAAUAAACUGCAACGUUUAAAUAAUGGAAUAUUGUAUAAUAAUAUUACAAAUUUAUAAAUUGAAAAUUUAUAAUUGUAAUCGGAUAGAGAACGAACAGUUUCUUUCUCUUAUACCCUUUCUCGAAUCAAUUCUACAUACUUUUCUUCUCUUCAUCCCCAGAAGAAGAAAGAAAGUAAAAUAAACUGCAACGUUUAAAUAAUGGAA